rnacentral:misc_RNA from 1 species
CCCAUAACAACAUCAAAAUGAUGAAACUGUAAGUAACAAGGAAAAGAAUUACACUUGGCUUGACCUUCUUCCGGCUAUCAUAAAGAUUAAACUUAGUGACAAAGAAAAGAAUUACACUUGGCUUGACCUUCUUCCGGCUAUCAUAAAGAUUAAACUUAGUGACAAAGAAAAGAAUUACACUUGGCUUGACUUUCUUCUGGCUAGAGAAAAAAUUGCUACAAGGACAUCCGAUAUGUAAAGGUUUCUAGUUCAAAAUAAAGAAUACUGAUAUGAAGCUCAUCCUUCUCUUUAUAAGAGUCUUAAAAUACACUUAAUUUUAUCGUAUUGUGCAGUAGACAACUUCCACAAAAGAUCAUUAAAGUAAGAACAAUUGCAACAAACAAACAAACAGAAUCAAGCAUAUUAUAC